UAAAAAUACAAGUUUAUUUUCUUUAUAUUGUUAAGUCUAAUUAUCAAUUUAUUUCAAAAUCAUGAAAAGCAGAGCCUAGCAUACCAAAUGCUAGGUCAGAUUUGCUCUGGAAACUUACUUUCUAGAUAAUUUUUUGGACUUACUUAAAAAAUAAUUAAUUUCCAUUAAUAGAGCACUAACAGCCUCCAACUUAUACUGCAGAAUUCCUAUAUGUAAUCUUUUUUAAAAAAAUUAAUCACCUGAAAAAGAUAUAUUUACUACAGUUAAGUUUUUAAGUCAAGAGUUUUCUCUGGGAAUUGAUAUAUUUUAUCUAUAAUGUCUCCACUUCCCCAUACUUUCAUCAAAGUAUCACUGAAGCAGUCAAAGGCAGUCCUUUGGGGGUAGGUCUACAACAUCUGCUUAGGUUUAUUUCAGUGAACAUGGUUCCAGUCUAAGGGCAAUGGGCCACUGUUCUAGGUCCUAAUGUACAGCCAUAGAGAUGAGGUAUUUUGAUUUGAACAGAAGCAACAUUUUGACCCAGGCACUAUAUUUACUCAUGCAGACGUGGUAGACCAUGUGUGCUAAACUGAACACCAAAGCCAUCAUUCAGACACGCACAGUGCUGGUCUCAUGGACCCAUGCAGUCACACAGAGCCUCAUGCUCAGAAGGGCACUGUGCUUGGUGUGACAACUGCUGUUACCAUCUUGAAUUUCUUAAUAAUUUUUGAAUGAUGGGCCUGCAUUUUCAUUUUUCACUGGGUUCUGCAAAUUAUGUUGCCAGUCCUAGAUAAACAUAAAAGUUGGUUUGGCCUGAUUCAUCUGACUUGUGAUCUGUGUUUUCAUUUGGCAUUGAAGAUAGAGCUGUGGGUAGUUCCCAGCAGCAGGAUGAUUCUAGUUCUAGAACAUUUUCAAAGGUAUAGAAGUUGUUGGUCAUGUAAUUCACCAGGAACAGUAAAGGAAGGAAGCCCACAAAGAUGAUUUUUAUUUAUGUGUAAGAUUAUAGAGCUGAAAUUAUCCUCUUUGGAAUAUGGAAGAAUCAAGCCCAACUGUGAGAUAUAUAUAUAUAUAUAUGUGUGUGUGUGUGUGUGUGUGUGUGUGUGUGUGUAUUUAUAUAGGCAUAAUGAAAGAACUGGUUCAUUUGAAGAGGAAAUAUGUAUGCACAUGUGCCAAUAAGCUAAAUAUAAAUAUAUUCCUCUCUAAUCUUUUUUUUUCAUCAUCAAGAAAUUAUUUCAGCAAUUCAAAUAAAAAGAAGAAUCUGUACAAGGUCUGAGCUUGGCUAUUGUUUAUCAGAAUAGUGAAAACAUCCUCUUCUGAAUUAGAAAGUACUCUUCCUGCCUUUCUUCAAAAGAAUAGUAGGGAAUAGUUGGUCCAGAAGGGCCACAAAAUGUUUAUCCUCCAUUUACAGACAGGAAUAAAC
rnacentral:lncRNA from 1 species